GGUUCCGUGGUCCAGUGGUCAAGACUCAUCGUUGUGGAAAUACGAGACAUUCCCUCCUCGGGAACACAUUCGUACUCGCUACAUCCGAUGCAACCCGUGUUCGAUUCACGGCGGAGCCA
rnacentral:tRNA from 1 species